AAAGUCAAGGUUAGAACUGCCAACAUUCUGCAAAAUAAAUUACACAGAUAUACGGAAAUAUCAUCAACUUUCAGAGUAUUGCGCAAUUUAACUUUGCAAAUCAAUACAGAAUUCCAUGGCUAAAAACAAAAGAAUUAAAACGUCCAGUCUAAAUAACAUUUGUGUAGUGUAUCUGCACUUCAGUUCUUAAACGAUCAACAGAAACAUCCUCAGGUCCUUGAGGACAGACCCGGCACUGGCUUCAGCCGAUACUGGGACAGGCGUGAAUGUGGGCAGGGCAUCUGAGAUGGGCUUCAUUAGCAGAAAGUGCUGUACUGGCAUUGCUAACAGUAGGGGACACAUUCAGUGGUGUGAUGUCAUAGACUGGCAAUUUGGGAGCUGGGAGCGCAGGGCUGGAUUCCACUUCCAGGAACUUCAGAAACAUCUCAGAGAAAGACUACAAUGACAAAAAAAGUAGCUGCAAAAGAAAGAGGACAAAAGACGUGAGCAGGAAGUGGCAGAGAAGAGAGAAGAGUACUUAAGGGACCUCUGCUGUCUUCUGAAGAAUGAACACUGUAAAAGUGGUGUUUAUAAGACAAAACAUCUGGUUACCUUUGACUUAAUAAAAUUCCUAUCAUGAAAUACAAGAAGACCGUAUAUGGUGUGGAGAAAGAGCAGAAAAACUGUGGUAGUUCAGGAAGUAGUGAUUUAAGUAAAUAACAUCACACUAUUGGGUCAACUUGUGCAGAAAGGACACUAAGUGACAUAAUACUUCCUUUAUAAACCUUUCAGAUCAGAAGUGUUUUUGUGCAACAUAUGUGCAAGUAAGGUUGUUUAAAUUCAGUUUCCAUUGAGUUUUGGAGGAACUGAUCACAAAAGCAGCUAUUAAAUCAGAGAGCCAGAAUGGCGGAAACUAGUCAACAUGGAAACUAGUGAAAUAAUGUGCGAAUCAGCAGAAGAUUGCGGCAAUACAGUAACUCCUGUACUGUUAAACCUGAAAAGCCAAGUCCGGAAACACUUUGAAUUACACCGGCAAUUUUUUUAAAAAUCAUUUAAGCUAUUUUAUGCACAUAAGCCUGUGUCAGCUGUGUAAUGUCACCCGUGUGAUAUUUUAAUUCCACACAAGUUUUUUGUAGCUAAAUAAGAAUGUGUUAUGCAUUAUGAUCUCCUUGUCAUUUUAUUCACUUAAGACAGUA